ACGAUGCCAACCAGCGAUCCGCCUGAGUUCCUCAAAUGACUCGGCGGGCAGCUUCCGGGAAACCAAAGUGUUUGGGUUCCGGGGGAAGUAUGGUUGCAAAGCUGAAACUUAAAGGAAUUGACGGAAGGGCACCACCAGGAGUGGAGCCUGCGGCUUAAUUUGACUCAACACGGGAAAACUUACCCGGCCCGGACACUGGAAGGAUUGACAGAUUAAGAGCUCUUUCUUGAUUCAGUGGGUGGUGGUGCAUGGCCGUUCUUAGUUGGUGGAGCGAUUUGUCUGGUUAAUUCCGAUAACGAACGAGACUCUAGCCUACUAAAUAGGCGUUCCGAUCCUUUAUGUCGGACGUUCUUCUUAGAGGGACAAGCGGCUUUUAGCCGCACGAGACAGAGCAAUAACAGGUCUGUGAUGCCCUUAGAUGUCCGGGGCCGCACGCGCGCUACACUGAAGGAAUCAGCGUGUGCUUUCCCUGUCUGGUAGGACUGGGUAACCCGUUAAACCUCCUUCGUGAUAGGGAUAGGGGCUUGUAAUUGUUCCCCUUGAACGAGGAAUUCCCAGUAAGCACGAGUCAUAAGCUCGUGUUGAUUACGUCCCUGCCCUUUGUACACACCGCCCGUCGCUACUACCGAUUGAAUGAUUUAGUGAGGUCUUCGGACUGGCGCUCGUAGCGACCUUUGGCCGCGCCGACGUGCCGGAAAGAUGACCAAACUUGAUCAUUUAGAGGAAGUAAAAGU
rnacentral:rRNA from 1 species